rnacentral:rRNA from 1 species
CGACCUUAGUUGCCAGCAUUCAGUUGGGCACUCUAAGGUGACUGCCGGCUAAAAGUCGGAGGAAGGUGGGGAUGACGUCAAAUCAUCAUGCCCCUUAUGACCUGGGCUACACACGUGCUACAAUGGGCGGUACAAAGGGUCGCGAACCCGCGAGGGGGAGCCAAUCCCAAAAAGCCGCUCUCAGUUCGGAUUGCAGGCUGCAACUCGCCUGCAUGAAGCCGGAAUCGCUAGUAAUCGCGGAUCAGCAUGCCGCGGUGAAUACGUUCCCGGGCCUU